UUGCGGCCGCGAUAGGAGCGGCAUCCCCGCGUCGGCAGGAUAUAGCGGAUAGCGCGAAUGGUC
rnacentral:sRNA from 1 species